rnacentral:rRNA from 1 species
GACGAACGCUGGCGGCGUGCUUAACACAUGCAAGUCGAGCGGUAAGGCCCUUCGGGGUACACGAGCGGCGAACGGGUGAGUAACACGUGGGUGACCUGCCCUUAGCUCUGGGAUAAGCCUGGGAAACUGGGUCUAAUACCGGAUAUGACCUCAUGACGCAUGUUGUGGGGUGGAAAGCCUUGUGCGGCUAGGGAUGGGCCCGCGGCCUAUCAGCUUGUUGGUGGGGUGAUGGCCCACCAAGGCGACGACGGGUAGCCGGCCUGAGAGGGCGACCGGCCACACUGGGACUGAGACACGGCCCAGACUCCUACGGGAGGCAGCAGUGGGGAAUCUUGCGCAAUGGGCGAAAGCCUGACGCAGCGACGCCGCGUGAGGGAUG